UGGGCGCCAAAACCCGCGCGGCUCGCGCUA
rnacentral:sRNA from 1 species